AUCUGGAGAUUAGCCAGAGUUCAGCACCACCCUUUGCUCCCAUCAUAUCCUCUGCGGAAGCAGGAAGAGAGGGGUGAAAGCUGCUUUAUUUCACUUGAGGAUUUCUCCACAGAUGAGAAAUUCCCAGGAAUCACAGAGCAGCCCUUGCUGUAUCCAGAACCUUUAAUGCAGACCAGGACUGAAAAAUAAAUACAUAAAAAAAACUCCUGGGAACUGGGUCUUAGCUGAAUAGAAUUCAGGAAAAUUAUGCUGAUCACAGGACACGUGGAAGCUCAUAAUAAAAGAAUGACACCUUGAAUAGAAAGAGACUACUGCUUUACUUGCUGAGUGGUAAGUGAGAGGGGAGCAUUCAACCCAGCUGCCAUCUCCAGACCUAGGAAAAAGUGCAAGCCAAAAUUUCAAAGGAGUUUGUUCUUCCAUACAAGGCAGUGUGGCAUUGGAUUCAAAUCUUCAGAUGAGAACAUGCCUCUGUUGCUUUGGUUCUGAGUAGGAUUCAUUGCAUUGCUAUUGUCGCUCCUUAGGGGAGGUAUAUCUUUUCUGUAGAAGACACCACGAUUCCUUGGUAUGUGCACAUUUGGGGGGCAAAUUAUGAUAGUGUCUUCUAAACGUUUCUGUCAAUAGUUGUGUGCCUUAGAGUUCUCGUUUUCAAAAUAUCAGUCAAUUUUCCUACACUUCCUUUUUCCAAGAUAGAAAUGGGGCAGGGAUACUGCAUUAUGAAGCCUGCUGAUUUUGCCUUUGCAUUAACUCUGGUUAGAGUUGGUCACUUGAACUUUCUUAAACAUAAUUGUACACCAUACGGUGGCUUUCAUGGAACUGUACUGCAUUAAUUUAUUAAAGACACUGUUCAACAUGUAAAUUCAUGACCUGGACAUAAGUAUGAAAUAAAGUAUAACAUUUGCAAAUGACAUGAAGAUUGCGGAUGUAGUAAAGGAAAGGACACAGAUUGGGAUCGCUUGGUAAGCUAAGUGCAAGCAAGCGAUACAGGUUUCAUUGUAUACAAGAUCAUACAUCUAGGGACCAGGAAUGUAUGCUUAACUUAGAUGAAAGUGGCUGUAUCCUGGGAAAGAUAUGGGGGAUAUGGAGGAUAGUCAGCUGAGGAGUGU